GCCAAGUGCACACAAAGAGGAGAGUGAGGGAGAGAGAGAAUUAGGAGGAAGACAGAGAAGGGACAGGCCGGGAGGCACGUCCAGAUGAAGUACAGGUCAGGAGAUGAGGUGAUUACAGCUCAAAAUGAUCAGUAUGCCAAAGCAGCAGACUUUGGAGUGGGAGGUCCUGACCUCUUUUGGUCAUAUUUGGGGCGCCUUACUCUACUGCCCUUCACCAUUUACUGCGUUGAUGGAGAAGACUCAGAGGAGUUGGUGGUUGGAGGAGGGGAA
rnacentral:lncRNA from 1 species